rnacentral:lncRNA from 12 species
GUGUCCCGCAUGGUGACUCUGGGUAAAAAUACCCUACGGCCUAUUGGAAAGCUGCGAAGAGGCGAUCAUAAAUGUCCACAUCAAAAGAAAAAAAAAUUGUGACUAUGCACAGUGACGGAUGUGGACUAGGCUUAGGGUGGUGAUCACCUCACAAUAGGUAUAAAUCCCAAGUCACAAUGCUGUACACCCGAAUGGCUUAAUGCUAUCAUGUCAACUAUGUUCAGUAAAGCAAAACCAAGCAAACAAAACGAGCCACCCGUGUUAUCCUGAUGCGUGUUGGGUUUGCGAACUGCUGCUGUAAAGGAGCGACUCCGAUCUCUCAAGUUGCUUCCCACACUUGGAAAACAAGAAUAAUUACCCAUCCCACCCACUCUGACCCCUACCCCGGCCCAAAAGAAAAAAGAAAAACACAACAGUAUGUAUUAAAAAUAGUUUUCCAUUUAGUUCCUGGCUAAAUUUAUAUGAGAAGUUAUGAAAAGAUAGAUAAGAAGCAACCAAGGAAACGCAAACAAAUCCUGCUUGCUACUUAUGGUAAUUAAGAUGGGGAAGAGGACGGACUAAGUUAGGUUUUUUUUUUUUUUUUUUUUUUUUUUUUUUUCUCCUCCAAUGCCCAGAGAAUAAUUUGAUCGUCCCUACUACCACGUCAGAUGGUGCCCAAAAGUGCCUUGCUGCGGUUUGUGGUUUUACAGCCUGUGGGUCUAGCAGAUAAAUGUGUUAUAUUGUUUUAUUUCUAAGGACAACUAGGGUCAUUACACACAGCUGUGUCUCCUUCCAGCACUUUUUCAUUCAAUGACUGCUCUAAACCUCACCCACUAAGUACUCAUUUGAGGGGCCUUCACAUUAAUUUAACUUCUCCAGCCAGAUUAUUAAAAACAGACAAACAAAAACACUUAAGAAAUAACUAAAGACAUCUCAAUAAGAAGGGUAGAAUCAAGAAAAUUGCUUAGUCCUUAAAUAUAUCUAACAUUAUUAGCCACAAAAAUCUGCGCUCUUUCUGCACCCUUCAUUCAGUGCCUGGGACUGGCCAAGGGAAGCCCGCACCGUAACUCAAUUAUCAGCCCACUAGCAUCAGUUUCGCGCUAUGAAACAUCGUAUUGGAUGACUCAAGAGUCUGUGUUGGGGUGUAAAAAAGUUAAAAGGUCAGAAAGGUAAACAGAAUCAGGGCUAUUGAGAGCUUUAUAGGUCAUUAAAAGGAUUUUAAAAACCAUAUGCUGUCUAGGAGGCAGCCAAGAUAGAGACUGUAAGAUGGGAGAAAUAUGAUCUGUAGAUCAAGUCCUAGUAAGAACGCUGGCAGCAGCAGCAUUCAAAACCAUCUGCAGCCAGUUUAGCAAACAAUCUGGAAUGCCACCAGGAACAAAUUAAAAUAGUCAAUCCUGGAAGAAAUGAAAGCCUAGCAUGGAUGAGUGAAACGUUGCUUGCUGGAGAUAUGCAGAGCCUGUAAUCUUCCAAUAUUCUAGAAACCAUAAAAAGAAUUUUUCACCACUAAAGUAAUAUGGAGAUUGAAAGUUAAAUUGAGGACCCUAAGAAGAAACAUGCAUGGCACAACUGCCACUCCAAGGCAAUGAACAUGGAUCCCAAUCCCAGUGGUCCUGCUAGCAUAAGGAUUGACCAGGAAGGAAUGAGCUUAACUCUGCUGCUACAAUCCGUAAGGGACAUUGCUCACCUGGUCAGCCCUAGAAGCUCAAUACUGUUGAGGAUGAUCAUUGCUUUUAGAGCUGGCAAUUUGAAUAAUAUCCCUUGAUCAUACCUGAAGUGGACUCUUAGAACUGUUUAAUGAUCAUAACACUAUUGAUUAACAUUUGUUGAGAAUCAACCUACAUCAUUCAGCAAAUUUACAUUGAUUCUUAAAUAUAAUUAAAAACUGAAACAGUCUGAUCACUAACAUUUACUAAAUGUUGUUACAUGCCAACACAAUUGUAUGUGCUUUGUAUAAAGUCUGGGGUAAUUCUAACACCUCUAGUAAUACAUUACUGGUAUGAUUUAUAUUGUUUUAUUUAAGCUGAGUGCCAUGGUGUCUUAUAACUCUUCUUCCUAACCCGUUAAUGAUGCUACUCAGAAAGAAAAAUUCAUUCCUUGUCUAUUGCAAUCAUUGGAGCAGGCAAUUUUUAAGAAUGAGCAUGGGAAUUCUAGCAUUGCGGGUAUAUGUGAGGAAAUGAAUGGGACCAAAUAUCCCAAAUGACAUAACAUCAUUAGUGAAGUAAUGUUAUCAUUCCCAUUUUACAGAUAAACCAAGGCACCCUAAAAUUUAGUAGCUUGCACUUUAGUAGGUGGAAGAGCCGGAAUUUGAACUCUUGCUAUUUUGAAAUUUUAUCAAACAAAUCUAACCACACAGUGGUUCUGGAAUUAAUCUCAGGAUCUAGUCCCAUCUCACUCUGGCAAUAAUGAAACCAUGAGAUGGGAACAGCUGAGAGAUCUCAUCCAUCUUGAGCCUUGCCUAGGUCUCCUCUUGAGUUCAUCAAAUUCUGUGUUAGUCACUGAAUAUUCUUGAGUCAAUUCUAUUCUCAGCCUCUCUUUCUCUUUUUCUGUUCUCCAUUACUCACUGUAUCAGGAUAUAUGUAGAAAGUAAGGUGUAUUUUGGUAUCUACCUGACAUUGUUCACAACCCAAAACUUUUAAAGACAAGGUUUUCCACAGGAAGAUCGAAACAUCUCCAGUUUUUUUAUCCCACCUUUUCCUGCAAUGUUAGAACUCCCAUAGUCAAGGGGAGAAGUUGUCUGCUCCAGUUGCCUGCAAAGGGCCAAGCGUAGCCUCUUUUCUCUCUUGGCAAUGUGACUAGGGAGUUAAGCAGAGAAGUUACAGAAUAAACUUGGCAGUAAUAACUUCCUAUUCGAGCUC